rnacentral:rRNA from 1 species
GACAGAGGUGCCGAGCGUUAGGCGGAAUCACUGGGCUUAAAGCGUGUGUAGGCGGAUCUGUAAGUACCUUGUGAAAUCCUACGGCUCAACCGUGGAACUGCUUGGUAUACUGCGGGUCUUGAGCCACCUAGGGGCAAGUGGAACAAACGGUGGAGCGGUGAAAUGCGUAGAUAUCGUUUGGAACGCCAAUGGUGAAAACAACUUGCUGGGGGUGUGCUGACGCUGAGACACGAAAGCCAGGGGAGCAAACGGG